rnacentral:rRNA from 1 species
UAGGGAAUCUUCGGCAAUGGACGAAAGUCUGACCGAGCAACGCCGCGUGAGUGAAGAAGGUUUUCGGAUCGUAAAACUCUGUUGUUAGAGAAGAACAAGGACGUUAGUAACUGAACGUCCCCUGACGGUAUCUAACCAGAAAGCCACGGCUAACUACGUGCCAGCAGCCGCGGUGAUACGAAGGUGGCAAGCGUUGUCCGGAUGUAUUGGGCGUAAAGCGAGCGCAGGCGGUUUCUUAAGUCUGAUGUGAAAGCCCCCGGCUCAACCGGGGAGGGUCAUUGGAAACUGGGAGACUUGAGUGCAGAAGAGGAGAGUGGAAUUCCAUGUGUAGCGGUGAAAUGAGUAGAUAUAUGGAGGAACACCAGUGGCGAAGGCGGCUCUCUGGUCUGUAACUGACGCUGAGGCUCGAAAGCGUGGGGAGCAAACAGG